rnacentral:rRNA from 1 species
UACGUAGGGUGCAAGCGUUAAUCGGAAUUACUGGGCGUAAAGCGUGCGUAGGCGGCUUUGCAAGACAGAUGUGAAAUCCCCGGGCUUAACCUGGGAACUGCAUUUGUGACUGCAUGGCUAGAGUGCGGCAGAGGGGGAUGGAAUUCCGCGUGUAGCAGUGAAAUGCGUAGAUAUGCGGAGGAACACCGAUGGCGAAGGCAAUCCCCUGGGCCUGCACUGACGCUCAUGCACGAAAGCGUGGGGAGCAAACAGG